rnacentral:rRNA from 1 species
GACGAACGCUGGCGGCGUGCUUAACACAUGCAAGUCGAACGGAAAGGCCCUGCUUUUGUGGGGUUCUCGAGUGGCGAACGGGUGAGUAACACGUGAGUAACCUGCCCUUGACUUUGGGAUAACUUCAGGAAACUGCGGCUAAUACCGGAUAUGAGCUCCUGCUCCAUGUUGUGGGUUGGAAAGUUUCGGCGGUUGUGGAUGGACUCGCGGCUUAUCAGCUUGUUGGUGGGGUAGUGGCUUACCAAGGCUUUGACGGGUAGCCGGCCUGAGAGGGUGACCGGCCACAUUGGGACUGAGAUACGGCCCAGACUCCUACGGGAGGCAGCAGUGGGGAAUAUUGCACAAUGGGCGGAAGCCUGAUGCAGCAACGCCGCGUGCGGGAUGACGGCCUUCGGGUUGUAAACCGCUUUCGACUGUGACGAAGCGUGAGUGACGGUAAUGGGUAAAGAAGCACCGGCUAACUACGUG